GGAAAGUGACCAGCCGCCACCCGCCAGCCGAGUGCCUUUCCAUAUUAAUUAAUUACUCGCUGUUUAGGACCAAUCACACUCUAACCCCGAAUUUGAGUUCUCAAUCGCAUGCGUCAGCUCGUCGAGCGUCGUAGCCUCGUCGGGGAGGAUGAAGGGAGCGGACCAGAGGUGGGUGAAGCCCGGACCGGGAGAAUAGGAGCGAGAGCGAAGCAGGCGCAACGCAACUGGCGACCAGCGGGCGAAGCAAUUAACGGGAAUAUUUUAAUGCGGCUUCGGGUACACGCGGGCAGGUCAAUCCUCGCACUCCACCUCCUGCCUGCCCCCGCACCCGUAGCCAUGUUGGAUCCACCGCCCCACCACGGGUAGCUGAAGGGGCGGCGGCGGCGGCGCGGCAGAGGGAUGAAGAACUUCCUCAGGAAGCUGCACAUCGGUGACUCCGCCGCCGGGGAUGGCGCCUCGUCGCCUUCGGCACCUACCCCGCCGCCAACGAAAAAGGGCGGGGGCAUCGAGCAUAGGCACGCCUCCGGGUUGUCGGGCUGGCUGAGCUCCGUGACCAGCCGGCCGCACCCACCUACGCCGCUUUCUGCUUCUGCUGCACCGGCAGCGGCGGCGCCGGAGGUGGAGGAGUCGGCGUUGACGACUGCGUUGGCUUCGUCUGUUGAGGAGAAGAGGGUAGCCGAGGAGGACGAGGAGAGGGCGAGGCGGGAGUCCCGGAAGGAGGCGGAGAUGGAGAAGAAAGAGAAACAGCAGGCGGAGCUGGAGAACUAUCACAUGCAGCUGGCCCUCGAGAUGAGCGUGAGGGAGGACCCGGAGGCGAUGCAGAUCGAGGUGGCCAAACAGAUCAGCCUCGGCUCCUGCCCCAUCCAGAGCUCGCCCGCAGAGGUCAUCGCCUUCCGAUACUGGAGUUUCAAUGCCCUUAGCUAUGACGACAAAAUAUUGGAUGGUUUCUAUGACAUUUGUGCCACUGGGGAUGAGCUUGCAAUGUCAACCAUACCUUCUCUGAUGGAUCUGCAAGCACUGCCAUUUUCACAUGGAGGCAAAACUGAUGCUGUAUUGGUCGACAGAGCACUGGAUUCUGAGCUCGUAGCUCUUGAGCAGAAGGCUGUUAUCAUGGCUGUAGAAUUUCGCUCGAAAAAAUCAGAAUUUGUUGACCGCUCUUUGGUUCAGACUCUAGCUAAUUUAGUUUCCAACUACAUGGGUGGACCAGUCAUUGAUCCAGAAAGCAUGCUGUUGAAGUACCGAAAUAUGAGCAGUGCGUUGAAAGCUGAUAUAAGAAGUGCAGUUGUACCUCUUGGGCAGCUAACAGUUGGUUUGGCUCGUCACCGUGCACUGCUUUUUAAGGUUUUGGCAGAUAGCCUUGCUGUUCCUUGCCGAUUAGUUAAAGGAAGGCAGUACACUGGAUCAGAUGAUGGAGCUUUGAACAUUGUGAAAUUUAAUGAUGGAAGGGAGUGCAUUGUUGAUCUCAUGAUAGAUCCUGGUACUCUUAUUUCAUCAGAUGGUGCUGACCUGGGUAGAGAAUUGGAAGACAGCUUAGUCGUAGAUAAUCAACAUGUUAACAAAGAUGACACUAGCACUCAGUUACUUUCCUCUUUCAGUGAAGCUUCAAGUUCCAUGCACAGUUCAUUUGAAAAUGGAUCGCUUGAAAAAGGAUUUAUUUGCAAUGCUGGGCAUUUUGGUCCAUAUGAAGCAACAACUGCCCAUAGUGACAAUGAUGUGCUUGGGUCUGGGGUAUCAAGUUCAUUUGAUGAGCUAUCGGUCAGCACAUAUGCAUGUGAAAACAUACCUAUUAUUCAUGAAUCUAAUACAGAUCAUACCAUGACUGAAAAAAGCAAAGAUAAGUCGAUCACAUCAAAUAAUUCGUCAUCAUGUUCGCCUCCAUCUUCUGAGAUAGGCAGUACUCCUGCUGUACGAAGGAAAAAGGUCAAAGACGUCUCGGAGUAUAUGAUUAGUGCUGCAAAAGAGAACCCUCAGAUAGCAGAAAGGAUCCAUGCUGUGUUACUUGAAAGUGGUGUUGUGCCACCACCUGACUUGUUUUCAGAAGAAUCUAAGGAACAACCAAAGGACCUGAUUGUUUACGACACAUCUCUGUUUCAAACAACAGAUGAAAUGAUAAGGACAAUGAAUGAGCUUGAAUCCACAGCACACGAUGGUUGUGCUGGUCUUGGUCCUUCAUUGCCACCUGAUCCUGGACAUGAGCUCCAAACAAAGAUUGUUCCUUAUCGGAUGCCUCCUGACCUCAAGCCUGUCCAGGGAUUAGGUGUUUACCAUAAGUUUGAUUUCCGGGAUAACAUCAAUCCCUCUAUACCUCUCUAUGAACCAAGUCCAGCUCCUCAGGAAAAUCCAUUACAACUUAUAAAGCAAAUGCCUGUUACAGCUGCUGCUGUUGCAACAGCUGCAGUGGUUGCAUCUUCAAUGGUUGUUGCUGCUGCGAAAUCUAACAGCGAUAUUAAACUAGAUGUGCCAGUUGCAGCAGCUGCCACUGCUGCUGCAGUUGUUGCUACUACAGCUGCUGUUAACCAACAAUAUGAAUACUUGGAUCCGGGUUGUCAAUUGCUUUGCUUGCCAAGUUCAUCAAAUAAAUUAAUCCAAAAAGGUAGACAUGACUUGUUGGAUGAUGAUCAGCUGGAAACAAAUCAUGGACAGGAUAAUGCCCUUGAGCGUGAAAAGGAUUUGGUUCAAGCACCCCAGGAAGCUGAGCGAAUCUCUGAUAGGUCAACUGGGACAGAGAGUGCAAGAUCUGAAAUUUCUCUUGAUAAAAUCGCAGAGUUUGAAAUCCAGUGGGAAGAACUUACCCUUGGAGAACGAGUUGGGCUGGGAUCUUUCGGAGAAGUGUAUAGAGGUGAAUGGCAUGAAACAGAAGUCGCAGUCAAGAAAUUCUUGCAACAAGAUAUUUCAAGUGAUGCUCUGGAAGAAUUUAGAACUGAGGUGGGAAUAAUGAGAAGACUGCGUCAUCCUAAUGUUGUUCUUUUUAUGGGUGCUGUCACUCGUGUUCCUCAUCUUUCUAUCGUGACUGAAUUUCUGCCAAGGCGGAGUGGAUGGCACCAGAAAUACUUCGAAAUGAACCAUCAGAUGAGAAAUGUGACGUCUUCAGCUAUGGGGUCAUAUUAUGGGAGCUCUGUACAUUGCUGCAGCCAUGGGAAGGUAUGAAUCCCAUGCAGGUUGUUGGAGCUGUUGGUUUUCAGCAACGACGGCUUGAUAUUCCUGGUGGUGUGGAUCCUGCUGUAGCAGAGAUAAUAAGGAGAUGCUGGCAGACUGAUCCAAGGAUGCGGCCAUCAUUUUCAGAGAUCAUGGCUACUUUGAGACCAUUGUUAAAAAACAUGCCUGCCAACCAACCUACCAGGAAGCGGGCACAACAAACAGAUGAUUAAGAAUAUAUUGGUCAGUAUCAGCUGAAGACACAGGCCAAAGAGAGACUGCAUUGGUUUGUCUUGCUCUUGCCUUCCCAGCUUCAAGCAAUUGGCCAUCUGUAACUAUUACCAUUGUUUUGUACAGUACGCCAAAUGCGUAUUUGAUGAAGAACAGGUGAAUUUUGGUCCUUUUGCCUUCAGCGUUUGGUUCUCCAUUGGAGCCAGCGGAAUGCUGUCUAUAUCUAUCUGAUGAAAGCCGACCCAAAUAACACAGAUCCAUGAAGCCAAAGAAAAGAAAGGGAAAAGAAAAUUUGUGAAAGUUCGUGCAUACUAUUUUUGCAGACACAAUGGUUACUGGAGUCAGAAGUUGACAUGUCAUGUUGUAACAGGAUCAUCGUCUUCUGUUCAGUUAGGCCUUAUUUUUGCUAGUCCUCGAACUAAUGGAAAACUAUUCCAUCUUUAAGGCCCCAUCAAAUUGUAAUGUUUUACUAUGAAAAGGUUGGCUCACCCUUGUGUAUAUCACGUCUCAACAAAUCUGCUUUUAAUUGACAGGUAGAUUACAAAAGAAAAUUAUGCCCUUUGUACUAAGAAUGAUCAUUCUUUGCGGUAGGAAAAAUGUUAAACCUACUUUUGCAAACAUAAGGUUGAUAUAUGUUAUCGUGAUUCCAAUU